CAAUCGGUCCUUUUCAGGACCACAAUAUUGCAAAUAAAAAAGAUAU
rfam:Glossina brevipalpis unplaced genomic scaffold Scaffold134, whole genome shotgun sequence.